UGGGGAAUAUUGGGCAAUGGGCGAAAGCCUGACCCAGCGACGCCGCGUGAGGGAAGAAGGUCUUCGGAUUGUACACCUCUUUCAGCAGGGAAGAAGAAAGUGACGGUACCUGCAGAAGAAGUCACGGCUAACUACGUGACAGCAGCCGCGGUAAUACGUAGGUGGCGAGCGUUAUCCGGAAUUACUGGGUGUAAAGGGUGUGUAGGCGGGAGUGCAAGUCAGACGUGAAAACUAUGGGCUCAACCCAUAACGUGCGUUUGAAACUGUGCUUCUUGAGAGUGGGAGAGGUAAACGGAAUUCCUGGUGUAGUAGUGAAAUGCGUAGAUAUCAGGAGGAACACCGGUGGCGAAGGCGGUUUACUGGACCACAACUGACGCUGAGACACGAAAGCGUGGGGAGCAAACAGG
rnacentral:rRNA from 1 species